GGCUUUCUGGAUUCGUACAGAGAUUUCGUCAGACAACAAUCCAUUAAGACUGACCAAACUUCCAGGAUAAGUGAAGCU
rnacentral:pre_miRNA from 1 species